rnacentral:rRNA from 1 species
UACGUAGGGUGCUAGCGUUAUCCGGAUUUAUUGGGUUUAAAGGGUGCGCAGGUUGUUUGAUAAGUCAGUGGUGAAAGUCUGUCGCUUAACGGUAGGAUUGCCAUUGAUACUGUUGGACUUGAAUAUGGAUGAGGUAGGCGGAAUGUGUAGUGUAGCGGUGAAAUGCAUAGAUAUUACACAGAACACCGAUUGCGAAGGCAGCUUACUAACCCAUCAUUGACGCUGAGGCACGAAAGCGUGGGGAUCAAACAGGAUUAGA